GUAAAUUGUAGAGUGAAACAAAUUAUUUUAACAUUGGCGUGAUAUUUUGUUCAAACUAAUCAGCAAAUUUUUCAAUUUUUUGCGCUUCUGUUUUUCAUAACAAUUUUGAAGCUUAUUUUACAGUCGCUAAGUAACGAUCUUCCAAUUGGAUUUGACUCAAUUUUUGUUUUGAAGUAAAAAUUAUCAACUAUCUGUUAAACCUUUGGUACCUAAAUUACCUAUUUUGGUACAUUUUUAAUUGAGUCUUGACUCAAGUAUUACUCUGACUAUUUUGUUGAUCAUUGAAACUGCAUCUAUUGUGUUAUUCGGGUUGAAUCUCGUUUUCUGGUUUUCAUCAGACUUGACUUUCCCUCAAGAAAAGUGUAAAGGGUUAACAUUCUGUUUUUAGGAGAAAGUCAAAAAACUCACAAUUUUUGGUGCCUGUUGUGUAAAAGGUUGAUGGAGCUCAAGUAUUCUGACUUUACCAUUUUUUCUGGUAACAUGGUAAAGCAGUUGCUAUCUAAUAGUUUGUCAUUCUUAUCCGGCUUUGAACCCAUUUUUGAUCGCUGUUAUACAACCAGAAACAAUUUUCCUGAUAUGUCUUAAUUGCUGCUUUUUACUCAAAGAAACAAAUCACACUAGAAUGUGAAAUGUUUGAUUUUUAACAUCUUUCUAUCAAUAUGAAGAUGUUUGUUAAUCGCUUUAAUCAAGAUACUUCUUUGACUUUGCCAUGAACAUAAACUUAGGAGCGGAAGUUUACAAGACUCAUCAGAUAAUGGCUAUUUACCUGUUUUGAUCAACUCAGUCAGUGUAAAACAAUGUCAACAGUAACAGAAUAGACUUUAACAAGUGAUCUGAAUCAAUAGAUAAAAAUUGAAUCGAUCAACCGUUCAUUUGAAUUGGAGAAAAUGAAGGUAAAAAAUAACACAAGGUAAGUUUAGUGGAAAGAAAAGUAAACACGAUGAAUAAAUAUUAUUAUAAUAGAUGGAAAAGGCUAUCUUUAAAUGAACACCAUCAUCAAUGGUCUAUUGGUCAUCUGGUUUAGGGUCAACCAUUCAAUAGAAAUGAAAUAAUACCUGCAUUAAGCAUAAACAAGAACCACGUAAUACAAAAUCACAAAUCCGAGUUAGUCAUUCACCCUUUAACAACAAAAGAAGACCUUUCAAAUGACAUGAUAUCAAAGCAAAAGAAGAUUAAAGAAUUGAUUAAACUCUAAUAAGGUUACUAGAAUCAAAAUUCUGACUGAAAUUAUUAAACAUCUUACCUCUGAUUAAAGAUUAUUUAAAAGCGAAAUCAAUCUUUUUCUUGAGUCAAAUAUUAUCUUUUUGUACUCGAAAGAUCAGAUACUAUUUAUAGAUAUCGUAAUGCUUUCAAUGUGUUUUUUAAUUGAAAUUACGUUUCAUGUUGGCUUUUUUAUUAGUUAUUGAUUAAUUUUUGCUCUCUCAGAACUCAACUUAGUGAUUCAAUAAUGUUAAUAUGGAUAUUUAUAGGGAAUAAAUUAGUUUUUCCUGAUCGCAUCUUGUGUUACCUUUAUAAUGCUGGCUAUGCUUUAUGACUCUAUGGUUUUUUUGGAGCAAAGGGGAGAUUUCAAUUGUCUGGUAUGAUUAUCCUUGCAAUCAAUUGUUUAUUUGUGAUAAAAUAUCAAUUUAACUAUGAUGACUAUUUGAUAAUAUUGAAAUGAUUCAGCUAUAGUUUGAAUUUGGAUCAAAUCAGGGUGAAAAUGUAAUGGACAAUGUGAUUGCUUGGAACUGCACGGAAUACAAUUGAAUGUCUCUUUUUUUAGGUAACAGGAAAGAUGUCUUCAAGGAAAUUAAUGAGGCGAGGGAAAAUGCUUUAUCUUCAUGUUUUGACUCGCUGUCUUAUCACUGAUCUUUCUUCACAACCAAGACUUCUGUAUGAUACAUUGUAAACGCUUUUAAAAAGUGGUUCUUAACACUGGAAUAAAGCAUGAUAAUCAAUUCGAUGGCUGAACAAGGUGGAUUGAGUAUCUAUCAAGUGGAAUAACCAAUGUAACCAGAUAAUAUCAGGCUAAUAUUAAAUCAAAGAGUAAACUCUUCUCUUUCAUAUUAACCUUUACGAUGGACUAGCAAGAUUAUGAAAUGAAGAUGAUGUUGACGUCAAUUUAUUACCUGAACCAAAAAUGAAGGGGCAAACAAACAAGUGGAAGAGCGAAGAGGAGAAAGUCAAAGAAGAGGGAAAAGUGUUGAAAUUGACAGAAAAAAGACAAAGAAUGAUGGCAAAGAAGGAGUAAAGAGUCAUAAAGAAAGGUAGCAAAUGGUGAAAAAUAGAGUUGAAAAAAAACUGAUUCUCAAGUGAAGGUGAAAAAGUGUUUAUCUGGUGAUGAAGGUAAUAGAGUUGGUUAAAAAUUGCGGCUAAAAGUGAAGAAGAAAAAUUGUAAGACUGAAAGGAGAGGAACAAAGAAGAAAAGAGGACAAAAUGGAAGAUAACGAUAAAGGCAAAAAGACAGGGAAAAAAGAGUGAACGACCCAGCCCAACGAGUAGAUGACAUGCCUUGAAUAAUUCUGGUAUCCACGUUAUAUCAGUCUACAACAGACAGUGGAAGAACUAAGAAAGUAAACCUAAUUCAAACAACAAUUCUUGGUGUUAAACAAUUGUCAGAUUGAUUCUUUUGUAAAGAUUACCUGGCCUUGGAUAAGAAAAUUGGAAAACUGGCUUUUCUUUGUGAAUAGCUUGAGACAAUCUGGUAAGAAUCAAUCAAAGGCUGUCAAAAAA